UACGGGGGGGGCAAGCGUUGUUCGGAAUUACUGGGCGUAAAGGGUCUGUAGGUGGCCAACUAAGUCAGACGUGAAAUCCCUCAGCUUAACUGGGGAACUGCGUCUGAUACUGGUUGGCUUGAGCGCAGGAGAGGAAUGCGGAAUUCCAGGUGUAGCGGUGAAAUGCGUAGAUAUCUGGAGGAACACCGGUGGCGAAGGCGGCAUUCUGGACUGCAACUGACACUGAAAGACGAAAGCCAGGGGAGCAAACGGG
rnacentral:rRNA from 1 species